rnacentral:rRNA from 1 species
CACAUGCAGUCGAACGGUGAAGCAGAGCUUGCUCUGUGGAUCAGUGGCGAACGGGUGAGUAACACGUGAGCAACCUGCCCCUGACUCUGGGAUAAGCGCUGGAAACGGCGUCUAAUACUGGAUAUGAGCUGCGAUCGCAUGGUCAGCAGUUGGAAAGAUUUUUCGGUCUGGGAUGGGCUCACGGCCUAUCAGCUUGUUGGUGAGGUAAUGGCUCACCAAGGCGUCGACGGGUAGCCGGCCUGAGAGGGUGACCGGCCACACUGGGACUGAGACACGGCCCAGACUCCUACGGGAGGCAGCAGUGGGGAAUAUUGCACAAUGGGCGAAAGCCUGAUGCAGCAACGCCGCGUGAGGGAUGACGGCCUUCGGGUUGUAAACCUCUUUUAGCAGGGAAGAAGCGAAAGUGACGGUACCUGCAGAAAAAGCGCCGGCUAACUACGUGCCAGCAGCCGCGGUAAUACGUAGGGCGCAAGCGUUAUCCGGAAUUAUUGGGCGUAAAGAGCUCGUAGGCGGUUUGUCGCGUCUGCUGUGAAAUCCCGAGGCUCAACCUCGGGUCUGCAGUGGGUACGGGCAGACUAGAGUGCGGUAGGGGAGAUUGGAAUUCCUGGUGUAGCGGUGGAAUGCGCAGAUAUCAGGAGGAACACCGAUGGCGAAGGCAGAUCUCUGGGCCGUUACUGACGCUGAGGAGCGAAAGGGUGGGGAGCAAACAGGCUUAGAUACCCUGGUAGUCCACCCCGUAAACGUUGGGAACUAGUUGUGGGGUCCAUUCCACGGAUUCCGUGACGCAGCUAACGCAUUAAGUUCCCCGCCUGGGGAGUACGGCCGCAAGGCUAAAACUCAAGGAAUUGACGGGGACCCGCACAAGCGGCGGAGCAUGCGGAUUAAUUCGAUGCAACGCGAAGAACCUUACCA